UAACUCCCAAUUAAAAAGUCUCCACUCAGCAUCAAAUCUCUCCUACCCUAACCCUCAAAGCUUCUAUUUGUGCGUUCAAGCUGUGUCUACUUCUGCUCUACAUCUUCUAUUUUAGGUGGCCGGCCAAAAUUGAAGUAUGACGCCGUGUUUGAGCACGUGGGUUUUAAAAGAAGAGCAAAACAUUCACUACUGGAGAUGUUUUUAAGAAUUGCAUCCUUAAAAUGGAGGAAAGGCAGAGAGUCAAGAGACAUGUUUUUUCUCUAGACUCUGAGACUUCAAUCGGCAAUAAUCUUCAUUCUUCACCAAAAGAAUUAUCUCUAUACCCUAUACGACGAUUCAUAUUUCCCAUUAAUCUCUUGCCAAAAAUCUGAAGUACUCAUUCAUUUUUUCGUCAAUCUUUUUUUGAGACUUGAAUUAAAUUUGCUAGGUUUUAAAAGUGGCCAAGCAGGCUAUCGACCUAAAUGUGGGGAUUGAGGAAGCACGGGUAAAUUUUUUGCCGAAGAAGUUAAAGGCAAAAUCAUAUUUUGUUGUCCGUUGAGGUCGUGAGGGAACUAUACGAGAUUGUUCCAACUCGCAAAUGGAAAGACGGAGAAAACAGAAUCAACAAAAUAGAAUUUAUAGGUGGAUUGUUAAUGAAGAGCUAUCAACCUGGUCAUAUGAUAAAAAAGGAAAGAGUAAACUAUUAUAUUGGUUGUAAUCUUAUGUUUUUUCCCUCUUUACUAGGUUUAAGCAAUCAUGGAUAAAAAAAAAAUUAAAAAAAAAUGAAAGAUUAAACUAUUGCAUUGGUUGUUCUUAUUUACCUUCAUCCAAAAUCGACAACUUUUUUCUUAUAAAAUUGUGCUAUUAGUUUAUCUCGAUUUACAUUUGAUCUGGUCUUUGUUUUAUUUUUUUUUAUUUUCUUGGUUGUGAAUGUGCUUGUUAGGAUAUGCUGAUCUCUUAUUGCUUGCCUGUGGAUUUUGUUUGUGUAUAGCAUAACCUUAUGACAAGGAAGAUGCUUUUUGAUGGAAAGCUAGGCAUUGCUAGUGAGUAGGAGACUCACAAGGACUUUGAUUUGUUUGUGAUUGGAGCUGGCAGUGGUGAAGUUCGUUCCUCAUAAUUUCCUAGUCUAUAACUCAUUUUUCGUUUAGUUUAUACACUGCUUGUACUAAAAGUCUAGGAUACAUUUGUAACUAAGAUAUGAAGGUGCAUGACACAUUUUGUGGUUAAAUAUAGGAUAUUUAAAUUUAUGUAAUGACUAUUAAUAAUUAUUUUAUGGGCAAUUACAAUUACCUUUCGUA